UGUGGCAGAACAGUGCAAUAAAUUUAAGAUUUAUAUAUAAAGUUUACCUUUCCUUAGA
rnacentral:tRNA from 1 species